CAACUGGGAUGCAGUAGUUUGAUUUAAAAACACAAGCCGGUUUUGCUCACAGACACCUGCAUUCGGAGAUAAAGGGGAAUAAUCUGCAAAACAAUUUUCAGGUGGGGUUUUAUCGAGCGUCCUAGGAGAUGAAAUGGACAAACGGGCUGGUUGUUUUUUCUCUCCCAAUAAAUAAAUGCAAACCUUACAAGCCAGGCGGUGGGAGCAUAGAAAUAGAUGUGAUCGUGUUUAAACGGAGGCUGCGUUAACUCGGAGCUGUGUCCUGCGAUUCCCUGGAUUUGAGGCGCUGCCUCUGGGUCCAAGCCUAGAGCCGUCAGGAAGGGGAGGAGGGCUGUGAAUUUUGUACCUUUAAAUUUGUAGAGGAAAUAAAGGCUCCUGCCUCGGACACAGCAUGUGGAGAGGAUUUGAAAAUCCAGCCGAGCCGAGCUGGGCCUCCGGGAUGAAAUGGUGCCUGUCCUUAAAUGUCCGCCUGGCACAGUUCACUCCUCUGGUGGGUCGAGCUCUCCCUCCUCCAGGGGCAGCCCUUCUCCGCUGGGGGCUUGGCUGCGAUCUGAGCUUGUUACUGUGCACCCCUGGGAGGGGGUGUCCCCCCUCAUUGGCAUCAACUUCAGUCUGUCUGUAACUAGGACACAGAGCAAGGGCCACUCGCGCGUCUUCUGGGAAGCCAGACACAAUCUGCUGGUGGGCUCUGCGAGCAGCGCCGGUGCGUGGAAGGACAAGCAGAGCCGGGAGCUCCCAGCCGUUCCCAGGGGCCGGCUGAGACCCGCUGAUCCCCAGGAGGAGCAGCAGAAGUCGAAGCCUUUUGCAGAAGAGGAAGAAAACCAAACCACGGCCACCUCCGAUGGCUGCAGUUCUGCACCAGUCCCAGCCAGGGAAGAGGGAUGGAAAGAAGCAUGCCUAGUUCAGGGGAGAAAUAAAGAACAUUGGAACACGCAGGCUUUGAACUUAGCAUAG
rnacentral:lncRNA from 1 species